GACGAACGCUGGCGGCGUGCCUAAUACAUGCAAGUAGAACGCUGAAGGAGGAGCUUGCUCUUCUGGAUGAGUUGCGAACGGGUGAGUAACGCGUAGGUAACCUGCCUGGUAGCGGGGGAUAACUAUUGGAAACGAUAGCUAAUACCGCAUAACAGUAGAUGUUGCAUGACAUUUACUUAAAAGGUGCAAUUGCAUCACUACCAGAUGGACCUGCGUUGUAUUAGCUAGUUGGUGGGGUAACGGCUCACCAAGGCGACGAUACAUAGCCGACCUGAGAGGGGGAUCGGCCACACUGGGACUGAGACACGGCCCAGACUCCUACGGGAGGCAGCAGUAGGGAAUCUUCGGCAAUGGACGGAAGUCUGACCGAGCAACGCCGCGUGAGUGAAGAAGGGUUUCGGAUCGUAAAGCUCUGUUGUAAGAGAAGAACGAGUGUGAGAGUGGAAAGUUCACACUGUGACGGUAGCUUACCAGAAAGGGACGGCUAACUACGUG
rnacentral:rRNA from 1 species